GCACACUGGAACUGAGACACGGUCCAGACUCCUACGGGAGGCAGCAGUGGGGAAUAUUGCACAAUGGGCGCAAGCCUGAUGCAGCCAUGCCGCGUGUAUGAAGAUGGCCUUCGGGUUGUAAAGCACUUUCAGUCGUGAGGAAGGCGGCGUCGUUAAUAGCGGCGUUGUUUGACGUAGCGACAGAAGAAGCACCUGGCUAACUCCGUGCCAGCAGCUGCGGUAAUACGGAGGGUGCGAGCGUUAAUCGGAAUUACUGGGCGUAAAGCGCAUGCAGGUGGUUUGUUAAGUCAGAUGUGAAAGCCCGGGGCUCAACCUCGGAAUAGCAUUUGAAACUGGCAGACUAGAGUACUGUAGAGGGGGGUAGAAUUUCAGGUGUAGCGGUGAAAUGCGUAGAGAUCUGAAGGAAUACCGGUGGCGAAGGCGGCCCCCUGGACAGAUACUGACACUCAGAUGCGAAAGCGUGGGGAGCAAACAGGAUUAGAUACCCUGGUAGUCCACGCCGUAAACGAUGUCUACUUGGAGGUUGUGGCCUUGAGCCGUGGCUUUCGGAGCUAACGCGUUAAGUAGACCGCCUGGGGAGUACGGUCGCAAGAUUAAAACUCAAAUGAAUUGACGGGGGCCCGCACAAGCGGUGGAGCAUGUGGUUUAAUUCGAUGCAACGCGAAGAACCUUACCUACUCUUGACAUCCAGAGAACUUUCCAGAGAUGGAUUGGUGCCUUCGGGAACUCUGAGACAGGUGCUGCAUGGCUGCGUCAGCUCGUGUUGUGCAAUAUUGGGUUAAGUCCCGCAACGAGCGCAACCCUUAUCCUUGUUUGCCAGCGAGUAAUGUCGGGAACUCCAGGGAGACUGCCGGUGAUAAACCGGAGGAAGGUGGGGACGACGUCAAGUCAUCAUGGCCCUUACGAGUAGGGCUACACACGUGCUACAAUGGCGCAUACAGAGGGCGGCCAACUUGCGAGAGUGAGCGAAUCCCACAAAGUGAGUCGUAGUCCGGAUUGGAGUCUGCAACUCGACUCCAUGAAGUCGGAAUCGGUAGUAAUCGUGGAUCAGAAUUCCACGGUGAAUACGUUCCCGGGCCUUGUACACACCGCCCGUCACACCAUGGGAGUGGGCUGCUAAAAGAAGUA
rnacentral:rRNA from 1 species